rnacentral:misc_RNA from 1 species
GGUGAAGAACGUAGCGAAAUGCGAUAAGUAAUGUGAAUUGCAGAAUUCAGUGAAUCAUCGAAUCUUUGAACGCACAUUGUGCCCGCCAGUAUUCUGGCGGGCAUGCCUGUCCGAGCGUCAUUUCAACCCUCAAGCCCCCGGGCUUGGUGUUGGAGAUCGGCGAGCCCCCCGGGGCGCGCCGUCUCCCAAAUAUAGUGGCGGUCCCGCUGUAGCUUCCUCUGCGUAGUAGCACACCUCGCACUGGGAAACAGCGUGGCCACGCCGUAAAACCCCCCACUUCUGAAAGGUUGACCUCGGAUCAGGUAGGAAUACCCGCUGAACUUAAGCAUAUCAUAAGCGGAGGA